UCCACGCAGUAAACGAUGAAUGUUAGUCGUCGGGUAGCUAGUCUAUUCGGUGAUGCAGCUAACGCAUUAAACAUUCCGCCUGGGGAGUACGGUCGCAAGAUUAAAACUCAAAGGAAUAGACGGGGACCCGCACAAGUGGUGGAGCAUGUGGUUUAAUUCGAAAAUACGCGAAGAACCUUACCUAGCCUUGACAUAUAUUAGAACAGACCAGAAAUGGACUGGUGCCUUCGGGAGCUUUUAUACAGGUGCUGCACGGCUGUCGUCAGCUCGUGUCGUGAGAUGUUGGGUUAAGUCCCG
rnacentral:rRNA from 1 species